CAUGGCUCAGGACGAACGCUGGCGGCGUGCUUAACACAUGCAAGUCGAACGAGAGGAGAAGGAAGCUUGCUUCUUUCAAAUCUAGUGGCAAACGGGUGAGUAACACGUAAACAACCUGCCUUCAGGAUGGGGACAACAGACGGAAACGACUGCUAAUACCGAAUAUGUUCCUUAGGUCGCAUGACUUUAGGAAGAAAGGGUGGCCUCUACUUGUAAGCUAUCGCCUGAAGAGGGGUUUGCGUCUGAUUAGGUAGUUGGUGAGGUAACGGCCCACCAAGCCGACGAUCAGUAGCCGGUCUGAGAGGAUGAACGGCCACACUGGAACUGAGACACGGUCCAGACUCCUACGGGAGGCAGCAGUGGGGAAUCUUCCGCAAUGGGCGAAAGCCUGACGGAGCAACGCCGCGUGAGUGAUGACGGCCUUCGGGUUGUAAAGCUCUGUGAUCGGGGACGAACGGUCAGCAGACGAAUACUCUGCUGAAGUGACGGUACCCGAAUAGCAAGCCACGGCUAACUACGUGCCAGCAGCCGCGGUAAUACGUAGGUGGCAAGCGUUGUCCGGAAUUAUUGGGCGUAAAGCGCGCGCAGGCGGCUUCUUAAGUCCAUCUUAAAAGUGCGGGGCUUAACCCCGUGAUGGGAUGGAAACUGAGAGGCUGGAGUAUCGGAGAGGAAAGUGGAAUUCCUAGUGUAGCGGUGAAAUGCGUAGAGAUUAGGAAGAACACCGGUGGCGAAGGCGACUUUCUGGACGACAACUGACGCUGAGGCGCGAAAGCGUGGGGAGCAAACAGGAUUAGAUACCCUGGUAGUCCACGCCGUAAACGAUGGAUACUAGGUGUAGGAGGUAUCGACCCCUUCUGUGCCGGAGCUAACACAAUAAGUAUUCCGCCUGGGAAGUACGAUCGCAAGAUUACAACUCAAAGGAAUUGACGGA
rnacentral:rRNA from 1 species